rnacentral:rRNA from 1 species
UACGUAGGGGGCAAGCGUUGUCCGGAUUUAUUGGGCGUAAAGAGCGUGUAGGCGGUCAGGUAGGUCCGUUGUGAAAACUCGAGGCUCAACCUCGAGACGCCGAUGGAAACCAUCUGACUAGAGUCCGGAAGAGGAGAGUGGAAUUCCCGGUGUAGCGGUGAAAUGCGCAGAUAUCGGGAGGAACACCGGUGGCGAAGGCGGUUCUCUGGGCCUUACCUGACGCUGAGGAGCGAAAGCGUGGGGAGCGAACAGG